GACAAGAAAUAACAAUACGGGGCUACUGCUCUGUAAUUGGCAUGGGGGCGACCUUCACCCUCGCCCGAGUACCCAUUGGAGGGCAAGUCUGGUGCCAGCAGCCGCGGUAAUUCCAGCUCCAAUAGCGUAUAUUAAACUUGUUGCAGUUAAAAAGCUCGUAGUUGAAUCUCACGUCCCGCCCUAGUGUUCUUCACUAGGCGGACGCCUCGUUACUUUGAGAAAAUUAGAGUGUUUCAAGCAGGUUUCGCCUGUAUAAUUGAGCAUGGAAUAACCUUGUAUGACCCCUGUCGUACCGUUGGCUGACUUUGGGUAAUGGUUAAUAGGAACGGUUGGGGGCAUUCGUACUCGACUGUCAGAGGUGAAAUUCUUAG
rnacentral:rRNA from 1 species